UUGUAUUUUUUCGUUAAAACAACUGUCCUAGUUUCCGUACAUAUUUUUUAAACAAGUUUGUGUUUUUUCUAGCCACACAAGAGCAACAAAGGCCGAGAUAUUUAAUGCAAAUACACACCGAAAACAAGGAGGGGAAAGAGCGGGAAAGGGAAAGGGGUAGCGAAAACAUUGUCCAAAAGCUAAUUACCAAACAAACGAAACUCGAUUGAAUCGAUUGAUUUUCGAUUCGUGUCCAGAUAAGCAACCAUUGCCUCGAUAAAGAUUUGUUAUCACUGAAAACAGAGGCGCAAUCGCAGUCACCCAACCGCCCCUCCCCUUUUCCACCAUGCGCAGUGGCGAGUCGACGGUGAUUGGAUUGCCGAGUGGCCCACUCUCGAGUGGGAGGAGCCGCCCCUCCGAGAACCCCCUCAAUUGGUGGCCCCUCCUGGAGGGGGUGGUGGGUGGUAGCGCCCCAUCAUGUUGUGUGUGCUGAAGCAGCACAGACAUAUGCCAAAAAGAGCAUUAAAAAAGUAGGUGGCACAGCUGCGGCUGAUAACACACAUUCCAGAGCCAUGUUCUGGGCGGAGCCAAGCGCUUGGGACCGCACCGUGCAAAUCAAGGCUCUCUUUCUGCACGCCGAGCUUUUAAAUAAUUAAAUUGUGAUUUUUACGUACACAUUAGGUGCCUAUAAGAACUCCCAAUGGUAAUCAAUUGUCAGUGCUAUUCGAAAUAUCUUUCAAUAUCCACUAAUACUCUUUCUGGAUAUCUCGACUUUUGCACGGAUGGAUUUACAGAGAUCAUACUUGAGAACAUAUUUCUUAUUCUACCAGGGAUCUAAAUACCCCAUCCAAAUAAAAUUGGAGCAAACACCCAUUCGAUUAUUAGGAUCUAUAUUUAGACUUGGAAAGUUGAUUGCAUGCAUUAAUUGGCCCAGGCAGCAGCUACAGGCCAGAUAAUUAACAAGUUCCAUUGUCAAAAGUGUCAACGCGGUUACUUGAAAAGCCAAUCAGCUCCAGCUCCAGUUCCAGCUCCAACUCCGGCUGCAUUUGUUUGGAUCCCACGCCUCCGCAGGGAGCGCUACUAAAGUAUCUGAACCUCAAACUGUGAGCUCGUUGUGUAAUUAAGCCAACCACAACAACAGCAAAUGGGAAGACGGACUGAGGGAUUGAGGGAUUGAGGCACCCGCACAAAAGCCAAGCUGGCGAUGAUGUCAUAUGUGCAUGGGCCAUGGGAGGAGAAGUGUGUGUGUACUAUUUGCAGCCACUGUUAGAUGAUCAACGGCUGAUGUUAUUGUGGCUGCCAAAGUGGGAAUCCGAAUUCAUGUGCUCAUUAAUUUAGCCAGCGAGGCAGCAGAGCCAACCAAUACAUGCAGAUGCAGCCAAUGCCGAUGUCUCCUUCGCUCCACGGGUGUAAUGUCCACACACACUCGGAUACGUUUGUAUCUCAUGGAUAAUUGUCUGGGCCGGAGUAUCUGUUGCGUUGCUGCGUUGCUGCCCCCGGAAUCUAGACAGUGUGGCCAAUUUAGUCUGCUUUGGCAAAUCAAUUAAAUUCAAUUAAUACCCCAACACUCUUAAUGGAACGUAAUGAAAAGGGUGACAUGACUGCGAUGCGACUACAGAUCCAGAUACAGAUACUGAUAGAGCCAUAGGAACGGCUCGCCAACGGCAACGGAUACAUGACGUUCCGGACACCAAUGCCAGGCCAGGCCGGACCGGAUCGGAGCAGACUGGUGACGGAGAUGGAGUCGGGUCGGGUUUGAUUGAGGAAAAAAAUCGCAUGACUGAAACGAUUUGAGCUUGACACCCUCCACAACAAGAAAUCUUAUAGAUACAUACAUAUUUGCGGAAGUAGGACAACUAAUCCUAGCUAACUGCCCAAAUACAGCAAAAUGUCUAAUUCUUCGAAUGAGUAUAAUUAGCUAAUUGUAUAUGAAAGUGAUACUGUGUGUGCAGCGCAUUUUCUUUCAGUGCAUUGCAGUUUUUUGUCUCCCACAAUUCGCCAAGCUGAAUGACAUUCGUUAAUUGUGAAAUAUAUCGCUAUCCUUCUCGGAGGUUUUGAUUCAACAUCAGUGCAAAAAUGUUUCUCACGCUUCGGAGUUUGACAUUUUCGAACUUUUGCAUGAUUUCGAAAACUUAA